GACCUAGAAAAUUAAAAAAAAUGUUGAAUUUGGUUGAAAAUACGAUGUGCACCAUUAUGUUGUAGCCACACCCCUAGGCUCGCUCCAUUCCAGAUGAGCAGUUGGCAACUGUAAAAGAAAAUGGCAACCUACAACUAACUUAGCAGCAAGAAUGAGGUAUUUGGCUUGAGGCACAUAGUGGUGAAACAGAGACUUGAACGAAACGACGGCAGCCAGGUUCAACUUGCUCAAGUACACACUAGUUCCACUCUCCAAUCUUUGUCUUGUGGUCCUGCCUGACUCCAAAAGAUUGAGAUUCAAAGGUCCACUAAAUAUUACGUCCCCCAUAACUAAUAAUCAGGUCCAGAUGGGGCUUUUAAAGACAACCUGGUAUAACCAUUAUCAAGUCAAGUGCAAAACCCUUCAAGGCAUCCAUAUUUUGGCUCAGGAUCAAAAGUGAGUUGCGUCAUACUGAGGGACAAUUUCACCUCGAGGGCUGAACAACAAUAGCAUACAGUACAUUAGGACCUAAAAUAAAUGGAUUAAUAGUCUAUCUGUCUAAACUAACACUAAGCAUGUACUGUACAGCAAAUACAAUUUAGCAUAAAAACAGAUUAAUGUACGAGGAUUGAUAUGAAAACGUUUACGUUUAUUUAAACGUUAUAUUGUUUAGUUUUAUUUACGUACGUAUUUAUUAGUUGUACAAUGUUCAUCUUGUUUUCAAUUGUCAAUUAUUUUACUGGUUCUUUUAUCACAAACAAAUGAUUUAGGUUUCAUUACCUGACACGAUUCAUCAGAGGCGGAAGUGAUAGCCGAAACAUGUCAGACAUUGAGCAAAUCCAAGAGUGAGGCCAAAAAGAGAAGAUUGAGCUGAAUCCCAGAGGAUGAAGCCGAUGUCGUUCAAGUGGUUGCUGAGCUCGGGGUCGUGGAAGGCGAUCAUUUGCGAGAAGACGGUCAGGUACUCUGAAAAGAGGUCACAAAUGACACGGAGAGACCUUGAUCAGUCUGUCGAAGAGGAUGACGCGAAGGAGCUGGUAUUCGGUGUCUCUCUCGCGGAUGAUGAGCGGUAGCGUGACGGUGGCCGACAACUCGUUGGCGCUGUUGGAGUGCGCCAGACUUGACUGUCUGUGGCAAGGGGAACAAUAACAAACAGUGUGUGGUGCCAUUUCUUGGCCCCUGUGGCAAUUAGGCUGAAAAAUAAAAAACGUACUCGUCCUCCAGCAGAGGGAAAUAAGAUUCUCCUGCAACGUCUUUCAGUCUCUGGUAAAGGACAAAAGAUCGUUUUUAAAAGUAGUAGCAAUUAUUUGACUGUUUGCUCUUCUUGUUGGUCUUACAUUCCUGAGCUGGCAGAGAGAAAGCGUCACCGUGGUGUCGUCUAGCAAGAAACUACGAUCCCUGCCCUGGCCGAACGACUCGCCAUCCUCCAGCACGAAACUUCAUAUGAGCAAGAAAAGAUUGAGAUUAUCCAGCGGUGUGCCGACUAACAAACAAAUGUGGAUGUGCUAUACUUGGGCAGCGUGCAUAUGGGAGGUUUGGACUGGAUGAUCUCCUUGUUGGUCAGCUCCUUCUCGAGGUCGCCCCCUGCAAGGCACCACAGGUGGUACACCUCGUUGAUGGCUCGCUCUGAAAGGUAAUCGUCGUCGUCCCCUAAAAGCCGCAGAAGCCAAAUGAUUAUAUUUGCUGAUGCUGUAUCGGUACACAAAUGUUAAAUAUUGAUAUUGACUUUUAGUUGAUGACUAUAGCUUUAAAUAAAUACAUAUUAAAAUGAUCAUAAUUGGAUUGGUAGAGUGAGUUAUAAGGAUUGUAUAUUCCAUAUAUGCAAGGUAUUUAGUCAAAUUGGUCAUUUUAAAAAAAAAAUCACAAGAUUUAGUAGCCAUCUGAAUGUUCAAAACAUUUCUUAAGGAGAAAUGUUUAGGAUUCUUUUUUAAAUCUAAGACAGUUCCCAGUGGGUGCAAUAACGCUUUUGUCAAAAUAUCCGAAGGUUUCGGAAUUAUAGCACACUACACACCCUCUCUUUUUAUAGCCGCACUGAAAUUAGCCUGUAUGACAUUGGAGGUUAAUGGAAAGUUUAAAAAUACGUUUUCAGAUUCUACUGGAUAUAAAUAUUCUCUGUGAUAAUUGAAAAGCAAAAAAAGUUAGGAACCAGAAUUCAAACUUCCACUUGAACUAGCAUUUCAGUUGGAGCCUAGAAGACCCGUUUGUCCGGCUAUAUUGACGAGCAUUUAAGGUGAAAUAUCAGCAUGCACAAAGAGAGCGUUUGAGACCAACCUUUGCAAAGGUCGCUGAUGUCCUCGGGGAGCUCCAGAUGUGCACAGCGUAGCGAGGAUGAGAACAGGCUGACAGGCUUCUGGAAGGGCGUGUACAGGCACGACACGCCAUCGAACACGGCGUCUCCCAAAAGCUCGCGUGGGCUUGGCCUGGAGGUUGAACAUGCAGCAUGUGUUUGUUGCUGCCAUUUUGUAGAAUAUCUCAGGGGAUCAGCAAAAAAAAAAAAAUUCCUAACCUGAAAACGUAUUAAAAAAACACUGCUAAAGAUUUAACAGGGGACGGAUGUAAAUGUAUAAAUUAAUUUGUUUUUCUUAUUAGGGAGGGUGGCAGUGUCCAUACAACCCCCCAGCUAGCUCCGCCCUUGGUCCAAAUGUUUCCCUCUAAUGGCCACAUACAAAAAAAGGGAAGGAUUAAAAAGUCACUUGUUGGGAAAUGGCGUACCGUUUAGAAGGCAGGAAGGUCAAGCAUUUCCGCAGCAACUCUAGAACGUUCUCGGGCAGCUCCUGUCAAAAACAUUUCAUCAGCCAACCUAACCUACUUUUUGUCAAAAGUAUGAAAAAGUAACCAGUGGUAUUUUUAUAUUGACGCAGAAUACAACUGGACCAAAA